UUUUAAUUGCUAUUUUUACAGCAUGAGACAUUACGGCAGCUAGCAACACAUAGAACCUUCGCGUUUGGCUCGAGUUUGUCCAAAAGUGGUUCAUGGGAGUGAGAAAUUUUAAUUGAAAUAACCAUUGCAAUGUUUUUGGUGUCCAAAUUCACGAGUUUUUCCCUAUUCAAAUACAUAGGACAAAGUUGGGAUCAAUAAAGUAGUUCAAACUAUGUGCCAAUUCGAAUUAAAAGAUUUAAAAUUCUCUUGAUUUCACUGUAUAUUGGUGCUAGGGGUAGGUGGCGGUGCCGCAUGAAUCAUGCAAGUUCUAAAAAUCAGGCAUUCGAAAAAUCGGUCAGCGUCUGUAUUCGUCAUUUUUGCUACCAGAAUUUAUAUUAUGAGGCAUGUGCAAACAAAAAUUUGCUUCACUAUAACCGAUACCAUGUCAGAUUCCACAUUUUCGAUUUCAUUAUAGUAGGAAAAUACUCCACUGAAAUAAAGCAUGACCAACCAAAUUUUAUGUUUACUUCGUUAUACCCAAUAAUUUGUUACAUCCAUGUUUGUUAUAUCGAGGCUCAACUGUACCUC
rnacentral:lncRNA from 1 species